rnacentral:rRNA from 1 species
GAUGAACGCUAGCGGCAGGCUUAAUACAUGCAAGUCGAACGGUAACAGGUCUUCGGACGCUGACGAGUGGCGCACGGGUGAGGAACACGUACACAAUCUACCUUAUACUGGAGGGUAGCCCCGGGAAACUGGGAUUAAUACUCCAUAGUCUUUAAUGAUCACAUGAGAAAUAAAGUAAAGCUUCGGCGGUAUGAGAUGAGUGUGCGUCCCAUUAGAUUGUUGGUGAGGUAACGGCUCACCAAGUCGACGAUGGGUAGCUGGCGUGAGAGCGCGACCAGCCACACUGGCACUGAGACACGGGCCAGACUCCUACGGGAGGCAGCAGUAGGGAAUAUUGGUCAAUGGACGAAAGUCUGAACCAGCCAUGCCGCGUGGAGGAUGACUGCCCUCUGGGUUGUAAACUCCUUUUAUAUGGGAAGAAACCUCUGGAUUCACUCCAGAGCUGACGGUAUCAUAUGAAUAAGCACCGGCUAACUCCGUGCCAG